AAGAGAAGUAGGGAGGAGAAUUCUUCUGGAGAUAUAUGAUUCAACCACAUGGAUUAAUUUGACUUGUGUGAUUUUUGGAGCUUAAAAAAAUCUUAAUUUGUUUUCUGCUGAAGAAAGAAAGUCACACACAUCUGGGAUGGCAUAAGGAAGAAAGGAUGACAUACAUCUUAGAUGUCAUGAAGAGGCUGACACAGAUAUAUGGAACCUUUAAUGGAUGCUCUGAUUGACCAUUUCAAACCAUGGAUGUGCAAGCUUCCUUUCAAAGCUGGGAAGUUCAUAAACAGUGCAGCUAACAGCUCCUUGGAGUAUAGUGUGUCAGCUUCAAAUAUCCUCUCUAGGUGAGCUAAAGUUGA